rnacentral:piRNA from 1 species
UUUACGUGGACUCGUGUCGGUUCGAGAC